rnacentral:tRNA from 1 species
AAAGGAUUAGUUUAAACAAAACACUUAACUUCGACUUAAAAAACUUUAGCAAACUCUAAAAUCCUUCA